rnacentral:lncRNA from 1 species
CUUGAAUUGUAAUGCGAAACAGAAAAGAAGUCAGAAUCUCUGCUUCUGCAUCAUUGUAUCAAAUUACCAUAUGGAUGAUGUCUUUCUCAUGAAGUCCAGCUCUUGUUGUUUACCAGCAGAAUGACAAAGUUUCUGCAAUUGUUCAAUAAAGCAUUUCUCCAGUCUUACACUAUUGUUUGAGAUAAAAGAAGACUUCAGUAAGAAAAUGGUGGCCUAAAUGACAUGAUGCUUGUCCUAAGGCAUCCACCAUGGGGACCACCAUGACCCACAGAAAGCUAUGAAUCCCUGGAAUUCCAGUGGUGAACAGUCACAAG